CCCACAUUGAAGGAGUGUGCUGAGAACAGUAGCAAUCAUAUCUAGGCUUGAUCAAGAGUUCAUGUUAACCAAAAAUUUGUAUUAUUUUUCAAAUACAUGGGCAACUUUCUGGAGAAUGUGAUAAAGGAAACAUUUUACAAGUCUUAGAAGGAGCUGAGGGUCAGUGAAGGUCAAACACUGGAAUUAAAAAGCAUCCUGGGAGAGAUUUAUAAAAGCACAACAUAUAACAAGGAAAUCAAUCUUCUGUCUAUCAUAUGAAGAUAUGGAGGCUCAAAGAGUUUCACUCACUUAACCUAACGUCACCCAGUUGGUAAGCAGCAGAAUGGACACUUUGUCUGUUUGGCGCCAAAGCCCAUGAUCCUGCAUUCCACGUGGGCCCUGGGGACGGUGCACUUCGGCAGGGCUGGGAUCAACGGAGGUGAAUGAGAUUGAUCUAAAGGCCUCCACCAUUCUCUCCUGCACACUGACUGAGGAGGCAGCAUGUCCCAGAUGGUAAAGCUACAGGAUGGUGGCAUCUCUGUCUGCCUGGAUUGCUGAGUCACAACAUGGAGGGCAGCUGCUCUAGAAGUGACCCAGACCUGCAGUGGGUAUUGUAUGCAUGGGGAAUCAACUUUGGUUGUGUCGAGUCAUCAAUGUCUUGAUAUGGCUUGUUCCCAAACCAUUCCCUCACCUAGUCUGACUAAUACUAUUGAAAAGCUGAAAUUUUAAAAAUCUGAUUAAAAGAAAAAACUAUCAAUACUGAAAGUAAAUUACAAAAAUGAGGAAAAAAAUUGUGCUGUUGUCAAAUGCAGAUUAUACAUGGUUUAAUUUUUGGCACGUAAGGUCUAGCGUUCAGAGGAGCAUCCAAGAAACUUUAUGAGCAUAACAUGCUGAUGGGAAUUUUAUCCAUUUGGCAGAAGUCAGAGCAAAAUUUGAUAAUAUUAUGGCAGAACAUUUAUGCAUGAUAUAAAUAUUGACACCAAAUAAUAUUGCACCUAUUUAGGGAAUGAAAUACAAAACCAAAUAAUUAAAAUUGUAGCAGAUGUAAUGAAUAAAAUCAGUGUGAAUAAGGUAAGAAG
rnacentral:lncRNA from 1 species